AUUGAACGCUAACGGCAUGCUUAACACAUGCAAGUCGAACGGCAGCACAGCAGUAGCAAUACUGUGGGUGGCGAGUGGCGGACGGGUGAGUAAUGUAUAGGAAUCUGCCUUGUAGUGGGGGAUAACCUGGGGAAACUCGGGCUAAUACCGCAUAAUCUUUACGAAGCAAAGCGGGGGAUCGUAAGACCUUGCGCAAUAAGCUGAGCCUAUAUUGGAUUAGCUAGUUGGUGGGGUAAAGGCCUACCAAGGCGACGAUCCAUAGCUGGUCUGAGAGGAUGAUCAGCCACACUGGGACUGAGACACGGCCCAGACUCCUACGGGAGGCAGCAGUGGGGAAUAUUGGACAAUGGGGGAAACCCUGAUCCAGCAAUGCCGUGUGUGUGAAGAAGGCCUUCGGGUUGUAAAGCACUUUUAGUGGGAAAGAAAAGCUCAAAGCUAAUAACUUUGAGACUUGACGUUACCCACAGAAAAAGCACUGGCUAACUCUGUGCCAGCAGCCGCAGUAA
rnacentral:rRNA from 1 species